ensembl:lncRNA
AGAACACGUCUGCUGUUCAGCUCCUUCAGCACCUUUUUAUUGUCACACCCACAGCCUGAAGAUUUCACACAUAAAUAUGCAUGACAAGACCACAGCACCGCAAGACAGCCUCAUGGUCUCAGAACAAGAGCAGAUAUUUCUCUGUCUUCUGUAGUGUAAGAAGUUAAUGCAUGAAGAGAAUGAGCAGACUAGAGGAAGCGAAGGGCCGAAUCACAGUGGUGGUGAAGGUUUAAAUGGUGGAUCUACUCUGAGAUGAAGAUUCAUAAAUACACAGUCAUCGUCAUCAUCUUUAGCCUUUUCUGUCCUAUCACAGAAACUACAGAACAGAGCCCUACUUAUAACUCCACAUUCAUUACAUCAGAAACUACAGAACAGAGCCCUACUUAUAACUCCACAUUCAUUACAUCAGUUCCUCCGGCUCUUAAUAAAGUGCAGAUCGUGAUUAUCAUCUCAUCACUCGGAAGUUUGCUUCUGCUUGGCGGUGUGAUAGUCAUCGUUUUAAAAUGCAGAAGGAAACGUCGGACUCAGGAGGAACCCAUUUACAGCAACAUAUAUUACAACACGAGGACAUGCAGAAAAAAGGUCACAGGUGACCAGAAGCAAACGAAAUCAUGAAAUUCAAUAAUUUUUCUUUAUACGUCUUUAUGACACUUAAAUGUUCAUAGCAUCUUGUAGGUUUGCAUGCAAGACCCGACCUGAAACAGAAACGUGUGCAUCUGUGGUUUUGGAGGCGGUUAUUUUAAGGGUCUGGUUCGUCUUUUGCAGUUGUCAGGAAAUUGUUUUACUUGCAUGUCUGCUGGGCACUGCAAACACAGCCCUCUUUUGUUCUCUUUUAUAUAUGUUGUAUCUACAAGAUGACUGUAUACUGGAUACUUUAAGACUUUCCAAAUGACUUUUUGUAAAGCAAAGACAAUCACACUUUAGAAUAGUAUGUACUUGUGGAUGUCUGUCUAUACUGUGAAAGAAAUAUGAAUCUUAUCUGUCUGAACUUAACCUAAUUUAGAGACUUUAAGGGUUCUUCAGGUGUCCCUCUGUGGGAAAGACAAAUACUGUAGAACCCUGCUUUGGAAGCACCCUAAAUUAUCCAAUGAACCUUUAAAGAACCCUUUGUUUUGUUUUUAAGAGUGUAUGUAGUAACUGUGUAAGUAUGUGGCGCAAAAUUCCAAAUCAUUGCUCUGUUUUUUGUUUGUUCUCAAAAAAAAAAAAAGGCCUAGAAAUGCCUUUUUAUUUUUAUUUUUUAAUUUUUUUGGAAGCUACAGUAGGAAACCUUAAUUAUCCAUUGAACCCUUAAAGAACCCUGAAGAAUCUAGAAGAAAACUGACUGAAUACUAAACCCCUGACUGGAUUGGUGCAUUAAGUAGAAAAUAAUAUAGCACAAUGUGGAGUUUGUACCACAAUCUUACCUCGUUAUUACAUACAGUACACGCGCUCUGAGAAACAAAGGGUUCCUCGGGGGUUCUUUCAGGGUUUAAUGGAAAAUUAAGGGCUCUGUUUUCUUCUUUUGUUUUGUUUUUUGUUUUUUUUUAGAUGUUAGUGAGUUUGUAAAGUGAAACUCACACAUUAGUGCGAGUUGUACUUCUGUAGCACUCACGCUACACUGAUGUGUUCAAAACAAAUAGAAUUGUGCCUGUAAGAGAAUAAGAUAAACACUGGAUUUAUGACUGAAGCGUAAAAUCCAAAAAGUCCAUGUAAAUUUACAACAAUGAAUUGUUUAUUCUGUCAUUUUUGACAAAUGAAAACUUUUUUUUUUGUGGCAGAUCGCAUGCUUUAGAAAAUGUAGGUGUUUUGUAAACGUUUUCAUUUUAAUAUGUAAUAGUUCAUUUUAACAUAGGGUUAGGGUUAGGGUUAGGUUUAGGGUCUAACACUAACCCUAACCCAGCACGUCUGUAUUACAUAGGAAAAAAACACACUCACUAUGUACGUGAGGUAAAACAUCACCUCAUUAUAGCGUCAUGUAUGAUUGCACACCCCUAUAUUUUGCUUGCCUGGAAACCUAAUUUUUUUAUCGAAUCAUUUAAGGAUCGCUAGUUAAGUGCAUUAAUACAGAGUAAAGAAAUAAAUGUUGUGUUCAAAACAAACGUACAGUUUUAUGCAAAAGUUUGGGCACUCCUGGGCAAAUUCAGUAAUUGAGGCAUGUCGCAAAAGUUCCGCUUGUAAGGUCUCAGAACUUGAGCUUGUUAGGCCUUAAUUAUCUGAUUGGGAUUAACUGUUAGCCAGGUCGAGACUUGUCAUUAGUAAUAACAAUUCCGUCGUCAUAACUCUUCAAACUACCCCGGGCUCCUCUAAGCAGCUGACUGAGCACCUGAAAAUCAAGCUAUUUUAGUUGAAGCCUACAAAACGGAGGAAGGCUAUAAAAUGUUUCUAGCUGAAAUGUCAUUAAUAAAUGGCGGUUAAGAAGAACUUUCGAAGUCAAAGUAAGAGUUGGAAGACUAAAAAAAAAUUCAAAUAAAACUCAGAUAAAACUGCCAAUAUGCAAAUCCUCCAAUGGCAAUAAAGACUUGCACGAAGGUUUAUCUGACCCAGGAGUGGUAGUGCACAUUUCUACUCAGAUCGUAUUUUGCAGUUGUGGUAGCAAAAUAUGAUCUGAAUGGAAGAGUUUUCAGAAUGAAACCUUGCCUCUGAUCUCAUCACAAAUAUCAAUCUCGGAGGUAUGCAGAAAAGAAAGCCCAAUGCAUUUUGGAAACAAGUCCUAUAGACUGAUGAAGUAAAAAUAGAAGUAUUUGGCCACAGUGACUAAAACGGUGGAUCGGUUAUGCUUAGGGGUUGUGUGGCAGCCAGCGGAAUAGGAAACAUUGCACAAGUAGAAGGAAGAAUGGAUUCCAGUAAAUUCCAGCUAAUUCUGGAAUGAAAUGUGACACAAUCAGUAAUGUCACUGAAUCUGAAAAGAGACUGACUUCUAUAACAGGACAAAACAUGCUUCAAAAUCCACCAUUUCAGACAAAAGGAAGACUUUUAACCUGUAAACAGGAUAUAGCAGACCACCUGUCUUAGAAAGUGUAGUGUAGGUGUUAUAAAAACAUAAAAGUGUGUCUGCACUCAUAAAUAGCUUCUCCACCCACAAUGACUGGUAACACACACACACACACACACACACACACACACACACACACACACAGGCAGGCCUCCUCUAACUGUGUGACCAAAAACCACCAAGUGCACAAGGUUCAAUAAGAGACCAGUGUUUACACUGGAUUAUGCAAGAUCUUUCCAACCUUCUUGGCUAAAUAAAGAGUUUUUAUUAAUAUGCCACUGAAUCUAAGCAAAAAGUUUGUUGUGCAUAAAAAUUGCAUGAAAUAAACACGAGGGAGACCAAGUAUGAUUAACAUGUAAGUUUAUUGAGGUUCACAGACUAAGUAUGAACAGCAUGUAAUUUUAUUGAGAAUUCACAGGGCAGGUGGGAGUGUAAUCCUGAGG